rnacentral:rRNA from 1 species
UACGUAGGUGGCAAGCGUUGUCCGGAUUUACUGGGUGUAAAGGGCGUGUAGCCGGGCUUACAAGUCAGAUGUGAAAUCCGGGGGCUCAACCCCCGAACUGCAUUUGAAACUGUAGGUCUUGAGUAUCGGAGAGGCAGGCGGAAUUCCUAGUGUAGCGGUGAAACGCGUAGAUAUUAGGAGGAACACCAGUGGCGAGGGCGGCCUGCUGGACGACAACUGACGGUGAGGCGCGAAAGCGUGGGGAGCAAACAGG